rnacentral:rRNA from 1 species
GCUCAUGGCUCAGGAUGAACGCUAGCUACAGGCUUAACACAUGCAAGUCGAGGGGCAGCAUGAACUUAGCUUGCUAAGUUUGAUGGCGACCGGCGCACGGGUGAGUAACACGUAUCCAACCUGCCGAUGACUCGGGGAUAGCCUUUCGAAAGAAAGAUUAAUACCCGAUGGCAUAGUUCUUCCGCAUGGUAGAACUAUUAAAGAAUUUCGGUCAUCGAUGGGGAUGCGUUCCAUUAGG